AACUCCGCUUUUCAUAAGAUGGUGUGAGUAUCUGUAAGGGUGAAGGUGCCUAUCAUCAGCAGUCCUUUAAGGAAAGUCUACUCUACAAAGAGAGAUUAGAACCGACAGCGAGGUGACUCUGAAAGCAAAGGAUCUAAACCAUCAGCUCUCAAGUCAUUGGACUAAGCUCAACUUUUGUCAGAACAAACACUCACAAUGGGAAGAGGUGAAAGUGAAGUGUGGGAGGAAAACCCUGACGAUGUUAAGCAAACUCAACCCAAAAAACACGCACCCACAAAGAGUAAAAGCACAGAGAAAUCGGGGAGUAGCUGUCCCGCGUGCUGCUUGAAGACAAGGAACUGCCUGAUGAGCCCAGAGUGUGGCAGGGCACUUCAGAUCUCCCGUGUUGUUGCUAUGUGUGGAAUGUGUCUCCGCAUGUUUAUUAGAUGAACCUUGGACGACACGACCAACCUGGAAUAUAUUAUUAUUAUUAAAUCUCCUCCAGCACUUUGCAUGAAAAUCAUGCCAUUACUCAAAGAAGAUAAAAAUGAAGUAACAAAUGAGAAAACAUGUAAAUAAGACCAACACUAAUUAUUAGUAGUCAAUCAGUGGAAACACUGAGGUAAAGUGAAUGUUACCUUAUUAUAAAGUUAAACACUGAAGCC